rnacentral:rRNA from 1 species
GAUGAACGCUGGCGGCGUGCCUAAUACAUGCAAGUCGAGCGAACGGACGAGAAGCUUGCUUCUCUGAUGUUAGCGGCGGACGGGUGAGUAACACGUGGAUAACCUACCUAUAAGACUGGGAUAACUUCGGGAAACCGUAGCUAAUACCGGAUAAUAUUUUGAACCGCAUGGUUCGAAAGUGAAAGACGGUCUUGCUGUCACUUAUAGAUGGAUCCGCGCUGCAUUAGCUAGUUGGUAAGGUAACGGCUUACCAAGGCAACGAUGCAUAGCCGACCUGAGAGGGUGAUCGGCCACACUGGAACUGAGACACGGUCCAGACUCCUACGGGAGGCAGCAGUAGGGAAUCUUCCGCAAUGGGCGAAAGCCUGACGGAGCAACGCCGCGUGAGUGAUGAAGGUCUUCGGAUCGUAAAACUCUGUUAUUAGGGAAGAACAUAUGUGUAAGUAACUGUGCACAUCUUGACGGUACCUAAUCAGAAAGACACGGCUAACUACGUG